rnacentral:rRNA from 1 species
GGGCUCCGAAAUUCAAAGGCGGGUCCGCCCGCGGAUUGGACAAAAUUCAAACCCUUUGGAGUUGCAAUCAGCGUCUGAAAAAAGGACUUGUUACAACUUUGACACUGGAUCUCUUGGUUCUGGGAUCUAUGAAGAACGGAGCGGAAUGCGAUAAGAAGUGUGAAUUGCAGAAUUCAGUGAAUCAUCGAAUCUUUGAACGCACAUUGCGCCCCUUGGUAUUCCAUGGGGCAUGCCUGUUCGAGCGUCAUUUGUACCUUCAAGCUCUGCUUGGUGUUGGGUGUUUGUCUCGCCUCUGCGUGUAGACUCGCCUUAAAACAAUUGGCAGCCGGCGUAUUGAUUUCGGAGCGCAGUACAUCUCGCGCUUUGCACUCAUAACGACGACGUCCAAAAGUACAUUUUUACACUCUUGACCUCGGAUCAGGUAGGGAUACCCGCUGAACUUAAGCAUAUCAAUAGGCGGGAGGAAAUUGUACUCAUUCCAAUUACCAGACUCAAAAGAGCCCGGUAUUGUUAUUUAUUGUCACUACCUCCCCGUGUCAGGAUUGGAGUAAUUUGCGCGCCUGCUGCCAUCCAUUGGAUGUGGUAGCCGUUUCUCAGGCUCCCUCUCCGGAAUCGAACCCUGAUUUCUCCGUCACCCGUCACCACCAUGGUAGGCCCUCUAUCCUACCAUCGAGAAGUUGAUACA